rnacentral:rRNA from 1 species
AUGGGCGCAAGCCUGAUCCAGCCAUGCCGCGUGAAUGAUGAAGGCCUUAGGGUUGUAAAAUUCUUUCACCGGGGACGAUAAUGACGGUACCCGGAGAAGAAGCCCCGGCUAACUUCGUGCCAGCAGCCGCGGUAAU